rnacentral:lncRNA from 1 species
CACAAACUCGCCUCGUCCGCCGCGACUAGUACCUGGGGCAAGUUUUCCUAAAGUUUCCCGGAAUAGGUAGUUCAGCUGCGUCCUGCUGAAAGUCUGAAUAGGAGUCGGCGGAAGUAUUGUAGCUUGCCGGAAAUCCUCGCCGAAAAAAUAAGGCACCUGUCCAAGAAAACAGAACAUACCAACACACACAAAAAGCAGAAGAGAGAAUAGGAAGAAAAGAAAAAAACGAGCGAGGAAAAAGAAAACAGAUCAGGGGUUGCCGGAAAUACAGAACGUGAAGAGUCGCCGAAAAACACGUCCCGAC